CAUCUCCUCACCCCACCCCACCAUCACCACCCUCCGCUGCAAGCAAGUGGAGGGAACUCAGCAGCAGCAGCAGCCUGCAGACGCAUGUGAAAAGCCACCGUGGUCCUCGUGGAACUCCAUCCAUCCAUCUAUCCGCGCCGGGAAGGGACGAGGUCCCGCCAUUAAAAAACAGCGCGGGACCGCGCUCCCGCGACCUCGAGGAUCUCGAAUCCCGGGAGAACCAUCCCUGCGCCGAGCUCUGAUCCGGCAACAAGUGGCCGGCUUGAUUCGAUUCGACUGGCUGCUUGUUUUACCCGCCACCACCACCUCUGCCGCUCCUCGGUUGUUUUCUUGACGCUGCCGACGGACCGUCCGUCCGUCCACCCCCACCUCGGGGCUUACCGUCCCCCCGCUGUCGCGUUUAGAUUAAUCAAUGCGGGCGGG
rnacentral:rRNA from 1 species